UUACAUUAUACAAAGCAAAAGAAAAUUAACCACCUUUGAAAACAUUCUAGCACUAUGCUCUAAAGCCUCUAAAUAACUUCUGUUACAACGCUUUACCAAAAUAGCCGGCAUGCUAUGUGAUUAUCAUUGAGGCGUGGAAGAGAUUGUUCAUGGAUACAAGUUAGAAAGUUGGCCUUAAAGGUAUGUUAAGGCUAUCCUUUCUUUUUUUUUUGGCAUGACCCAAAUGAUACUGAAAGAAACGAGCAAACGCACAGUUUUCAUAAACGACUCUAUUCAUAGAAAUAUUAGGGGUGUCUAUAUUCUUGAUUCCCCAUGUGAAUUAUUAUUAUAUCUUUUGUUCAUGGGUCUUAGAAAAAUACGUAUUUGAUAAAAUUUAUCCGCCAAACACAUUAUUUUUAUGACAUUCUGAGAAAAUCUUAUUAAUGUAUUUCUUAAGGCAUAUUAUUUUUAUGACAUUCCGAGAAAAUAUUAUUAACGUAUUUCUUAUGCAUUUCAUGCAUUUAUACAUAUACAUUGACCCAUGACCAGAUGGCGUUAUGUACGCGUAUAUAUGUAUAUGGGAUAUGAAAAAAGAUUAUGGCGUUAUAUACACACCACCACCUGAUCAACUGGUAUACAUUGAUGAUUUGCCCACAGUGGCCGAAAUGAUAUGAUGGGAUGCUCUCAGAGGCUUGAUGAUGUUAUGAACACAUAUACCUAUGAAUGGUAUGACGUUUAUAUGCAUAUGCAUGACAUUAUAAAAAUAAAAUAAUUCAUAGAGCUAUGCAGACGUACAUGUCGAGUCUUUUACUCCAUGUUUCUCUCAUGUCUAUUAUUUACUGAAUUUCAUUCCUUACAUAGUCGGUACAUUAUUUGUACUGACAUCCCUUUUAUCUGGGGAUGUUGCGUUUCAUGCCUGCAGGUCUUGAUAGACAGGUCGAGAGUCCUCCAAGUAGGUGAUCAGCUCAGAGGAAGAUGUUGGUACACUCCAUUUAUUCCGGAGUUGCUUAUGUGGUCAGUAUGUUUAGGGCAUGUACUAAUUAGUAUGGCGGGGCCCUGUCUCGAUUUUUAUGACAUUUAUGUACUCUUAGAGGCUUGUAGACAUAUGUCGCGUGCGUGAAAGAUUGUACGGCCUUGUCGGCCUAUGUUUUGAGUUUAUAAAUGAUGAUGUCGGCCUAUUAGGCCCGUAUAUCACGUGUAUAUGAUGAUGUAAUAAGAAAGAUACAUUACGUUGGUACUCGGUUGAGUAAGGUACCGGGUGCCCGUCGCGGCCCAUCGAUUUAGGUCGUGACAAAAGUGGUAUCAGAGCAGUUCUGUCCUAGGGAGUCUACAAACCGUGUCUACUAGA
rnacentral:lncRNA from 1 species